rnacentral:rRNA from 1 species
GACGAACGCUGGCGGCGUGCCUAAUACAUGCAAGUCGAACGAACCGCGACUAAGUGCUUGCACUAAGUCAAGGUGAGUGGCGAACGGGUGAGUAACACGUGGGUAACCUACCUCAUAGUGGGGGAUAACAGUCGGAAACGACUGCUAAUACCGCAUAGGACAUAGGAUCACAUGAUCCAGUGAGGAAAGGUGGCGCAAGCUAUCGCUAAGAGAUGGACCCGCGGUGCAUUAGCUAGUUGGUAGGGUAAAGGCCUACCAAGGCGAUGAUGCAUAGCCGACCUGAGAGGGUGAUCGGCCACAUUGGGACUGAGACACGGCCCAAACUCCUACGGGAGGCAGCAGUAGGGAAUCUUACGCAAUGGACGCAAGUCUGACGGAGCAACGCCGCGUGAGUGAAGAAGGUCUUCGGAUCGUAAAGCUCUGUUGUUAGAGAAGAACAGCGCAUAGAGUAACUGCUAUGCGUGUGACGGUAUCUAACCAGAAAGCCACGGCUAACUACGUG